UCAUUUUGGAGCUAAAUUUGCUAAUUAUGUCACUUUGGAGCUAAAUUAUCUAAUUAUGUCUUUGUUGGGUAAAAUAAGGUAAGGAGAAGAAGAAAGAGGAGAAGAAAGAGGAGGAGAAGGAGAAGAAGAAGAAGAAGGGGAAGCAGAAGAAGAAGAAGAAGAAGGAGAAGAAGAAGAAGAAUAAGAAGAAGAAGAAGAAGAAGAAGGAGGAGGAUAAGGAGACGAAGAAGAAGAAGAAGAGGACGAUUACAAUACUUUUCUUAUUCUGAGAUUAAUAUGUAUU
rnacentral:lncRNA from 1 species